rnacentral:sRNA from 1 species
GCCAGGUGCUGUGGGGCACACCUGUAAUCCCAGUGGUUUGGGAGGCUGAGGCAGGAGGAUAGUGAGUUCAAAGCCAGCCUCAU